UACGAGGGGGGCGAGCGUUGUUCGGAAUUAUUGGGCGUAAAGGGUGCGUAGGCGGUUUGGUAAGUCUGAUGUGAAAUCUAUGGGCUCAACUCAUAGUCUGCAUCGGAAACUGCCGGGCUUGAGUGUGGGAGAGGUGAGCGGAACUUACGGUGGAGCGGUGAAAUGCGUUGAUAUCGUAAGGAACACCCGUGGCGAAAGCGGCUCACUGGGUCUUUUCUGACGCUGAUGCACGAAAGCUAGGGGAGCAAACGGGG
rnacentral:rRNA from 1 species